rnacentral:rRNA from 1 species
AGAAGGAUGGACGCCAGUCUGUCCGGAGUCGCUGUUGGGAUACCACCCCUGUAGUACUGGGUUUCUAACCAGUUGCCAUGAACUGGCAAUGGGACAAUGUCAGGCGGGGAGUUUGACUGGGGCGGUCGCCUCCGAAAGGGUAUCGGAGGCGCUCAAAGGUUCCCUCAGAAUGGUUGGAAACCAUUUGAAGAGUGCAAAGGCAGAAGGGAGCUUGACUGCGACACCGACGGGUGGAGCAGGUACGAAAGUAGGACUUAGUGAUCCGGUGGUAUAAAGUGGGAUUGCCAUCGCUCAACGGAUAAAAGCUACCCUGGGGAUAACAGGCUUAUCACUCCCAAGAGUUCACAUCGACGGAGUGGUUUGGCACCUCGAUGUCGGCUCAUCGCAUCCUGGGGCUGUAGCAGGUCCCAAGGGUUGGGCUGUUCGCCCAUUAAAGCGGUACGCGAGCUGGGUUCAGAACGUCGUGAGACAGUUCGGUCCCUAUCCGGCGCGGGCGGAGGAUAUUUGAGAGGAGCUGUCCUUAGUACGAGAGGACCGGGAUGGACGGACCACUGGUGUAUCUGUUGUCGACCAACGGCAUGGCAGAGUAGCCAAGUCUGGAAGGGAUAAACGCUGAAGGCAUCUAAGCGUGAAGCCCCCCUCAAGAUGAGAUAUCCCUCCUUCGGGAGUAAGACCCCUUGAAGACUACAAGGUAGAUAGGGCAGAGGUGGAAGCAUGGCAACAUGUGGAGCUGACUGUUACUAAUAGGUCGAGGGCUUAAUCUG